GCAUUGGAUUUAAACCCCAAAAAUAAAGUUUAAACUUUUUUUAGAAAUUUCAACCUGAAAAAAU
rnacentral:tRNA from 1 species